rnacentral:pre_miRNA from 1 species
GGUGGAGAAAUCCAAAGGGAUCGCAUUGAUCCUUUUCAGUGCAAGCGGUUUUCCAAGGAUCAUGCGGUCUCUUAGGAUGUCUCCAU